UUGACCUCAAAUCAGGUAGGACCACCCGCUGAACUUAAGCAUAUCAAUAAGCGGAGGAAAAGAAACUAACAAGGAUUCCCUUAGUAACUGCGAGUGAAGAGGGAAAAGCUCAAAUUUGUAAUCUGGCGGUCUUUGGCCGUCCGAGUUGUAAUCUAGAGAAGUGCUACCUGCGCUGGACCAUGUACAAGUCUCCUGGAAUGGAGCAUCAUAGAGGGUGAGAAUCCCGUCUUUGACAUGGACUGCCAGAGCUUACAGGUGUGCUCUCAAAGAGUCGAGUUGUUUGGGAAUGCAGCUCAAAAUGGGUGGUAAAUGCCAUCUAAAGCUAAAUAUUGGCGAGAGACCGAUAGCGAACAAGUACCGUGAGGGAAAGAUGAAAAGAACUUUGGAAAGAGAGUUAAACAGUACGUGAAAUUGCUGAAAGGGAAACGCUUGAAGUCAGUCGCAUCAGUUAGAAAUCAACCUCGCUUUUGCUAGGUGUACUUUCUGUCUGAUGGGUCAGCAUCAAUUUUGAUUGCUGGAUAAAGUUCUUGGGAAUGUGGCAUCUUUGGAUGUGUUAUAGCCCUUGGACAUAUACAGUGGUUGGGAUUGAGGAACUCAGCACGCCGCAAGGCUGGGCUUGUCUACAACACGUGCUUAGGAUGCUGGCAUAAUGGCUUUAAUCGACCCGUCUUGAAACACGGACCAAGGAGUCUAACAUGCUUGCGAGUGUUUGAGUGGAAAACUCAUGCGCGUAAUGAAAGUGAUAGUUGAGAUCCCUGUCAUGGGGAGCAUCGAUGCCCAGACCAGACCUUUUGUGACGGAUCUGCGGUAGAGCAUGUAUGUUGGGACCCGAAAGAUGGUGAACUAUGCCUGAAUAGGGUGAAGCCAGAGGAAACUCUGGUGGAGGCUCGUAGCGAUUCUGACGUGCAAAUCGAUCGUCAAAUUUGGGUAUAGGGGCGAAAGACUAAUCGAACCAUCUAGU
rnacentral:rRNA from 1 species